rnacentral:rRNA from 1 species
CCUACGGGGGGCAGCAGUGGGGAAUAUUGCACAAUGGGGGAAACCCUGAUGCAGCGACGCCGCGUGAAGGAAGAAGGCGUGCGGAUCGUAAACUUCGAUCAGCAGGGAAGAAGGAAGUGACAGUACCAGACUAAGAAGCCACGGCUAACUACGUGCCAGCAGCCGCGGUUAUACGUAGGGGGCAAGCGUUAUCCGGAAUCACUGGGUGUAAAGGCUGCGUAGGCGGUAGUGAAAGUCAGCUGUGAAAGCCCGGGGCUCAACCCCGGGAUUGCAUUUGUAACUGGCUUACUAGAGUGCAGGAGUAGAAAGCCGAAUUCCUAGUGUAGCGGUGAAAUGCGUAGAUAUUAGGAAGAACUCCAGUGGCGAAGGCGGCUUUCUGGACUGUAACUGACGCUGAGGCAAGAAAGCGUGGGGAGCGAACAGGAUUAGAUACCCGAGUAGUC